UGCUGCAAUGCCCACAGCAGCCACGGGCGAAGCAGCUCUGGUGAUGGGAAGCCCUUGAGGAGGAAGACAGCAGCGGAGGGCCAGGGGGCUGCCACGUGCAUAUGGACAUCAGCACCAAGGACACCGGAGGCCCCCGUGGAGCAGCAAGGAACACGGAUGUACAGGAUCAGCAGCUGGAGGACAACUUGGCACAGACGAGACUCAAUGCAUCGUGGUUGUUUUUUAAACUAAAUCCAUGAGUGGAUGAAUGAAACAGUGGAAGCCCUCCAGGGAUUAGUAAUCAGACCCCAAAACCUUUAUUCCUCAGGAUGGACAGCUGAACCUUACCCCGGCUGCAGAAGGGAUGGAGAAGGGCUGGAGGAGCCACUGCAGUCCAAGGAGGCCUGGAGGCGGGGAUGAGGAGGCUACAGAGUGAGCUGUGAGGAUAGACACCAAGGACUCCGAGACCCACAGAAGGAGAGUCCCUUGGAAACAGAGCCACGAGUGCAGGCACCACCCUUGGAGGGUCACUUGGAGUGGAAGGAAGCGAGGGGGCAAGGAAGACACAGAUGUCGUCCAUGUGGAUCUUGGAGUUCAGAUCAGGAUAGGGAGAGGAGAUGGAUAAAUGGAAAGUAUCCAGCAUAAUCCCAUAUACCAACAUCCAGCUGCAACUAGUGUAUUACGUUUCUAUCGCUGCUGUGACAAAUUACCACAAAUUUAGUGGCUUAAGAUAACACCCAUUGGUUACCUCCCAGUUCUGUAGGUAAGUCCAGUGCAGUGUGGCUCGGCUGGGUCCUCUGCUCAGGUGUCACGGGGGCCAAAAUCAAGGCGUCAGCAGCGCUGCAUCCCUUUCUGGAGGCUCUGGGGAAGAAUCCACUCAUUCAGGCUGUGGUAGAAUCCAGCUCCUUGCGGUUGGAGGGCUGAGAUCCUCAUUUGCUGGUUGACAGCCAGGAGUUGUUCUCAGCUUCUGGAGGUGACCUUGUUUCUGGGCUCAUGACUGCCUUCCUCUGUCUUCCAAGACAGCGAUGGCUGGUUGAGUCCUUCUUACCCUUCGUCCUCAUCUCAUCUGCUUUUUCUUUCCUUCUCUCUGCCUUUCCCCUUUGUUUUUAAGGGCCCAUCUGGAAAGCCCAGGAUAAAGAGUCUUCUUGUUUUAAGGAUGCCAGCAAGAUGCUUCACUGAUGCAGCAAGGUCUCCAGCCAUGAUCCCCCGCUCAUGUCUGGAUGCCGUGCAAGAUGCAGUCCCUGCAUCCCCCGUGGGACCUGACAGUGUCUGGAACAGAGCAGGUACUCAACAGAGACUUGACAGAUGAUGGACGUUCCUCCACGACUGAGUAUCCUGCCCACAUCCCUGGACCAAGGGACACCCGAAAUCUACCAGGGCAGGGGCACACAUCAGGACUGCAUUAUCUUC